GAAGUAAAAGUCGUAACAAGGUUUCCGUAGGUGAACCUGCGGAAGGAUCAUUAACGAGUUUUGAAAUGGGUUGUUGCUGGCCUUCCGAGGCAUGUGCACGCCCUGCUCAUCCACUCUACACCUGUGCACUUACUGUAGGUUGGCGUGGGUUUCUAGCCUCCGGGUUGGAAGCAUUCUGCCGGCCUAUGUACACUACAAACUCUUAAAGUAUCAGAAUGUAAACGCGUCUAACGCAUCUUAAUACAACUUUCAGCAACGGAUCUCUUGGCUCUCGCAUCGAUGAAGAACGCAGCGAAAUGCGAUAAGUAAUGUGAAUUGCAGAAUUCAGUGAAUCAUCGAAUCUUUGAACGCACCUUGCGCUCCUUGGUAUUCCGAGGAGCAUGCCUGUUUGAGUGUCAUGAAAUUCUCAACCCAUAAAUCCUUGUGAUCUAUGGGCUUGGAUUUGGAGGCUUGCUGGCCCUAGCGGUCGGCUCCUCUUGAAUGCAUUAGCUUGAUUCCGUGCGGAUCGGCUCUCAGUGUGAUAAUUGUCUACGCUGUGACCGUGAAGCGUUUUGGCAAGCUUCUAACCGUCCAUUAGGACAAUUUUAUAACAUCUGACCUCAAAUCAGGUAGGACUACCCGCUGAACUUAAGCAUAUCAAU
rnacentral:rRNA from 1 species